rnacentral:rRNA from 1 species
GUGCCAGCAGCCGCGGUAAUACGGAGGGUGCGAGCGUUAAUCGGAAUUACUGGGCGUAAAGACGCAUGCAGGCGGCCGUGUUAAGUCAGAUGUGAAAGACCCGGGGCGUUAACCUCGGAAUUGCAUUUGAAACUAGGCAGGCUAGAGUCUUGUAGAGGGGGGUAGGGAAUUUCAGGUGUAGCGGUGAAAUAGCGUAGAGAUCUGAAGGAAUACCAGUGGCGAAGGCGGCCCCCUCGGACAAAGACUGACGCUCAGAUGCGAAAGCGUGGGGAGCAAACAGGAUUAGAUACCCUGGUAG